AAUUCGAUUAGUUUGAUCAUGGCUCAGGACGAACGCUGGCGGCGCGCUUAACACAUGCAAGUCGAGCGAGAACCAGGCCUUCGGGCCUGGGGACAGCGGCGAACGGGUGAGUAACACGUGGGUAAUCAACCCUCGAUACUGGGAUAGCCCGGGGAAACCCGGAUUAAUACCGGAUGGCCCUUUGGAUUCUCGGAUCUGAAGGAAAAGGUAGCUUCGGCCUCCGAUCGAGGACGAGCCCGCGGCGGAUUAGCUUGUUGGUGAGGUAACGGCUCACCAAGGCGACGAUCCGUAGCUGGUCUGAGAGGACGAUCAGCCACACUGGGACUGAGACACGGCCCAGACUCCUACGGGAGGCAGCAGUGGGGAAUCUUGCGCUAAUGCGGGAAACCGUGACGCAGCGACGCCGCGUGAGGGAAGAAGGCCUUCGGGUUGUAAACCUCUUUCAGGAGGGACGAAGCCACUCGGGUUAAUAGCCCAGAGGGUGACGGUACCUCCAGAAGAAGCCCCGGCUAACUACGUGCCAGCAGCCGCGGUAAUACGUAGGGGGCAAGCGUUGUCCGGAUUUAUUGGGCGUAAAGAGCGUGUAGGCGGCUAGAUAGGUCCGUUGUGAAAACUCGAGGCUCAACCUCGAGA
rnacentral:rRNA from 1 species